AUGGGACCGUUUCCUUCCUCUAAUGGGUAUACACAUAUUUUAGUUGUUGUUGAUUACGUUACUAAGUGGGUAGAAGCUAUUCCAACUAGUAGUGCUGAUCAUGACACCUCUAUUAAGAUGCUUAAAGAAGUUAUUUUUCCGAGGUUUGGAGUCCCUAGAUACUUAAUGACUGAUGGUGGUUCACACUUUAUUCAUGGUGCUUUUCGUAAAAUGCUUGCUAAGUAUGAUGUUAAUCAUAAAAUUGCAUCCCCAUAUCAUCCACGGUCUAGUGGUCAAGUAGAACUGAGCAAUAGAGAGCUUAAAUUAAUUUUGCAAAAGACUGUUAAUAGAUCUAGAAAGAAUUGGUCAAAGAAACUUGAUGAUGCACUAUGGGCUUAUAGAACUGCAUAUAAAAAUCCUAUGGGUAUGUCCCCGUAUAAAAUAGUUUAUGGAAAAGCAUGUCACUGA
rnacentral:rRNA from 1 species